AGAGUUUGAUCCUGGCUCAGAGUGAACGCUGGCGGCAGGCCUAACACAUGCAAGUCGAACGGCAGCACAGCAGUAGCAAUACUGUGGGUGGCGAGUGGCGGACGGGUGAGGAAUGCGUCGGAAUCUGCCUAUUUGUGGGGGAUAACGUAGGGAAACUUACGCUAAUACCGCAUACGACCUACAGGUGAAAGUGGGGGACCUUCGGGCCUCACGCAGAUAGAUGAGCCGACGCCGGAUUAGCUAGUUGGCGGGGUAAAGGCCCACCAAGGCGACGAUCCGUAGCUGGUCUGAGAGGAUGAUCAGCCACACUGGGACUGAGACACGGCCCAGACUCCUACGGGAGGCAGCAGUGGGGAAUAUUGGACAAUGGGCGCAAGCCUGAUCCAGCCAUGCCGCGUGUGUGAAGAAGGCCUUCGGGUUGUAAAGCACUUUUGUCCGGAAAGAAAUCCUUUCGAUUAAUACUCGGGAGGGAUGACGGUACCGG
rnacentral:rRNA from 1 species